UAGCCAAGCUGUAGAGAUGCGCGGUUCGGCUGUAUUUUUAAGCAUCGCAAUAUAUUGAGGUGGUUUAUGGCACUUUCUGCCAACGAGAAAGCUCAGAUUGUUAAAGAUUACCAGCAGGCUGAA
rfam:Marinobacter sp. BSs20148, complete genome.